AUGAAGAACAAAGAGCAAGCAGCAAACCCAGUCCGGAAUAGAGAACAACCGAGAUGAUCUCCUCAGAUUGGACCUGGUUCUGGUCCUAUUAGGACCAUUUGGGGAAGUGGGACUAAAUCAAAGUCUUCACUCGUGAGCAAUUGAUUGCAGCUAUAGCCUCAACACUCGCUUUAAACUGAAGCAGUCUCUCACUCAAUCAACGGGAAUGCCCCUCCCCGUCAAGAUAUAUAAAUAGACAUCGAAGCAGCCUGUUUACAAGUUUGUGAGUAAGAAGUUGAAAGAAUACUUAAUCGGUUUGGAAUGAUUUCUUUUAAGCGUGAGGGCCACUAUCUCGCUUGUCAGUAGUCUCGGCUGUGUCAGGCUUGUUUGGUGAACAGUGGAUGUGCAAGAGUGAAAAUUUUCCAGGCAUCUGUAUGAAGGCUGCACUUGAACAUGGUUGGAUUAAAACCGACAGAUGUGCCUCCAACAAAUGGUGUAAAAGUUGUUGGUGCUGGUGCAGCAGCUUGUGUAGCCGAUCUUGUUACAUUCCCUCUUGAUACCACCAAAGUCAGAUUGCAGAUUCAAGGGGAAUCCAAGUCUAUCAACAAUGUGACCUCUCCAAAGUAUAGAGGCGUCUUUGGUACCAUGGUGACGAUUGUGAAAACUGAAGGAGCAAGAAGCCUCUAUAAUGGCUUGGUGGCUGGUCUUCAACGUCAGAUGAGCUUCGCAUCAGUGCGUAUUGGGCUUUAUGAUUCUGUCAAACACUUCUACACCAGUGGAUCUGAUGCUAUUACCGUCAGUAGUCGUUUGCUUGCUGGCUGCACAACAGGAGCCAUGGCAGUCACCAUGGCACAACCAACAGAUGUGGUGAAAGUAAGGUUUCAAGCACAAUUGAACAUAACUGGUGUGAGUAAGAGGUACAGUGGGACCAUAGACGCCUACAGAAAAAUUGCUAAGGAGGAAGGACUUCCAGGAUUAUGGAAAGGUACUCUGCCAAAUAUUAUUCGCAAUUCUGUUGUGAACUGCUCGGAGCUAGUGACAUAUGAUUUGAUCAAGGAAGGGCUGAUCAAGUAUAACUUUAUGACUGAUAACCUGCCAUGCCACUUUUGUUCUGCUUUUGGUGCUGGAUUCUGCACAACCAUUGUAGCUUCACCUGUUGAUGUAGUAAAAACAAGAUACAUGAACUCUGCUCCUGGCCAAUACAGCAGUGCCUUAAGUUGCUCCUUUAUCAUGCUGACAAAAGAGGGAUUCACAGCUUUCUAUAAAGGGUUUAUGCCCUCCUUCCUGCGUCUGGGAUCAUGGAAUGUGGUAAUGUUUGUUACGUAUGAACAGUUGAAACGUGCAAUGAUGCUGGUGAAGCAGUCCUGGGAAUAAUCAUCUUGUUCCAUGUUUUAUAUAUUUUUACAUCAAAGUUUUUAAUAUUUACCAUGUUUAUAUAAAUCCAAAGGGCAUGGAUUUCUUGAUCAUUCUGUUUUAAAGAAUGAUUCAAACUGUGGGCAUGUCGCUGGUCGAUUGCAAUGCUAUUAUCUUGCUGCUGCUUUACUUCUUAAUUUGAGGUAAUUUGUGAAUAUAUUUUUGUGAAGGUGAAUAAAGAUAAUUAUUUGAUGUAUUGUCUCUUCUGGAAUGUAGAAACAAACUAAUGACCCCAUUACCUCUACUUCUAAUAUAAUCGGUGAUUUUUUCCCCCCCCCUCCAAGUCUGAAGUAUUGUAUAGACUAUAUAUAUUUUUUAAAGUUCAUUUCAUGGGUUGCCAGACAGGCCAAAUGCUGACUGCAGUUGUGAGGGUGAGUACAGAGUACACUUCUGUAUUUGAGUCAUUCACUUGCAUGGUCAAAAAUGGAUAAAGCAUGAUUUAAGGAUCAUGUUAUCAAGCAAUGACUUGGUUCUAAGUUAAACACAAACACAAUUGCUUUUAAUUCCAGAAAAUGUUAAAUAUUGCAGAUCUUCAGCUUCUGGAAAAGCUCAACAGAUCUGGCAGCUGCUAUAGAGCAAGAGAAGAUACUGCCAGACCUGCUGAGUUUCUACAAGACUUUGUUAUUUCUGUGGUCUUUGUUUGGUGUGACAUG